UACAGAGGUCUCAAGCGUUGUUCGGAUUCAUUGGGCGUAAAGGGUGCGUAGGUGGCGGGGUAAGUCAGGUGUGAAAUUUCGGAGCUUAACUCCGAAACUGCAUUUGAUACUGCCUUGCUUGAGGACUGGAGAGGAGACUGGAAUUCACGGUGUAGCAGUGAAAUGCAUAGAGAUCGUGAGGAAGACCAGUGGCGAAGGCGGGUCUCUGGACAGUUCCUGACACUGAGGCACGAAGGCCAGGGGAGCAAACGGG
rnacentral:rRNA from 1 species